rnacentral:rRNA from 2 species
UACAGAGGGUGCGAGCGUUAAUCGGAAUUACUGGGCGUAAAGCGCGCGUAGGCGGCUUUUCAAGUCGAUUGUGAAAUCCCCGGGCUCAACCUGGGAACUGCAGUCGAGACUGUCUAGCUAGAGUAUGGGAGAGGGAAGUGGAAUUUCAGGUGUAGCGGUGAAAUGCGUAGAUAUCUGAAGGAACAUCAGUGGCGAAAGCGACUUCCUGGACCAAUACUGACGCUCAUGUGCGAAAGCGUGGGGAGCAAACAGG